UACGUAGGUGGCAGGCGUUGUCCGGAUUUACUGGGUGUAAAGGGCGUGCAGCCGGGCUGACAAGUCAGAUGUGAAAUCCCGCGGCUCAACCGCGGAACUGCAUUUGAAACUGUCAGUCUUGAGUACCGGAGAGGUCAUCGGAAUUCCUUGUGUAGCGGUGAAAUGCGUAGAUAUAAGGAAGAACACCAGUGGCGAAGGCGGAUGACUGGACGGCAACUGACGGUGAGGCGCGAAAGCGUGGGGAGCAAACAGG
rnacentral:rRNA from 1 species